rnacentral:rRNA from 1 species
CCUGUGAACAUACCAAUUGUUGCCUCGGCGGAUCAGCCCGCUCCCGGUAAAACGGGACGGCCCGCCAGAGGACCCCUAAACUCUGUUUCUAUAUGUAACUUCUGAGUAAAACCAUAAAUAAAUCAAAACUUUCAACAACGGAUCUCUUGGUUCUGGCAUCGAUGAAGAACGCAGCAAAAUGCGAUAAGUAAUGUGAAUUGCAGAAUUCAGUGAAUCAUCGAAUCUUUGAACGCACAUUGCGCCCGCCAGUAUUCUGGCGGGCAUGCCUGUUCGAGCGUCAUUUCAACCCUCAAGCCCAGCUUGGUGUUGGGACUCGCGAGUCAAAUCGCGUUCCCCAAAUUGAUUGGCGGUCACGUCGAGCUUCCAUAGCGUAGUAGUAAAACCCUCGUUACUGGUAAUCGUCGCGGCCACGCCGUUAAACCCCAACUUCUGAAUGUUGACCUCGGAUCAGGUAGGAAUACCCGCUGAACUUAAGCAUAUCAAUAAGCGG